GGUUAAAUUAUUUGGGAAACCCAAACGUUUCCUCUUAUAAUGGUUUCCAACCGUUUCUAACAAACCCUUUAUUCUGCUGCUACUCUCUCUUCCAUGGGAAAAAAAUUAUUACUCUUUCCUUUCUUUGCAAUUUGGACAACCCUAGCCAAUGUCAAAAUUGCAUCACAUGUGGUGAUCUGAAUUGAGAUCCAAUAGAUGCCAUUCAAGUUGGUAAUUUAAGCGACAAAAAGGGCUGUAGAUGUUGUCACGACAGUUUCAAGCUUUUCGUCACCUGGCCUCACUGUUUUGGUGCUUCAAUCACAAAGGACAAAAGAGAAGUAUUUUUUUUCAGUAAAAGAUCAACCACUAUUAUCAUUAUUUGACAAAUAGUGUUGAUUUGUGACAAAGUUUAACAUUGGAAGCACAAGGUAGACUGGUGGUAGUGAUGGUGGCUCUAUCCCUACUUCUUCCAUUGAGGUUUUGAGAGAGUAUGAGUCGCUAGGGGUACUCCGGUGAAAUGUUUUACUCUUUAUCAUUUUUCAUUCCAUUUGGAUUUCACAGUGUUCGUCUUCAAAUUAGAUAUUUGGUUUUGGCAAGCGAGUGAAAAAAAUUAUUAGUAGCUCCAUUUCAUGUUUAAGGUCUAGAAAUUCAAAUGAUCAUUUCAUUGGUGCCUCGUCUAAUGGGUUGGAGUUCAGACUUAUAUUGCUUCCAUGCUAAAAGUGAGAGUUGAAUCCAAAGGUUUAAAGGAUUUCAAGGGAUCAAAAAGCUCGAGUACCUUAUAGCUCCAUGAUUCCUUGCUCUUUUCUUUUUGUUCAAUAUUGUACAAUACUUGAUAAUUAAUAUUAUUCAAGUAUAAAAGGUAAACCUUUAAUAUUCUGACAAGAUAUUCCCUAAAUUAGAUGUGCUG